rnacentral:rRNA from 1 species
UACGAAGGGUGCAAGCGUUACUCGGAAUUACUGGGCGUAAAGGGUGCGUAGGUGGUCGUUUAAGUCCGUUGUGAAAUCCCUGGGCCCAACCUGGGAAUGGCAGUGGAUACUGGACGGCUAGAAUGCGGUAGAGGGUAGUGGAAUUCCCGGUGUAGCAGUGAAAUGCGUAGAGAUCGGGAGGAACACCAGUGGCGAAGGCGGCUACCUGGACCAGCAUUGACACUCAAGCACGAAAGCGUGGGGAGCAAACAGG